AUGACUGUAAUAGAUUUCAUAGAUCUGAGUGAUCAUGAUAUUAUUGACUUGAGCAGCAGCGAUGAUGAGACUGUUCAGGAGGAUCAUAUUGCAACUCAGCACCGGGCGGCGUCGCUUGAUAGGCAGACUAUGCAUGUCGUAGCUGGUGAAGGAAUCCAAGAUGUGCAGGCUGCGCUUGUUGCAGCUAGUGAAGGAAGGCAAGAUGUGCAGGCUGUGUUUGCUGCAGCUAGUGAAGGAAGACAAGAGGCUGCUGAUUGCGGACAUGCUUUGGAAGCCACCACAUCGUCCUUGGUUACGGAAAAAGAACCUCUUGUUGCAGCUAGUGAAGGAAGCCAAGAUGUGCAAGCUGUGCUUGUUGCAGCUCGUGAAGGAAGCCAAGAUGUGCAGGCUGCGUUUGUUGCAGCUAGUGAAGGAAGCCAAGAUGUGAAGGUUGUGCUUGUUGUAGCUACUGGAGGAAGUCAAGAAGUUUCUGACUCUGGAAAUGGUUUGGAAGCUACAGCAUUGUCUUUGGUUACUGAAAAAGCACCUCUUGAUAUGGCUGAAUCGCACAACUGUCCUCGCUCUCCCACAUCAGCGCCGUUCCCCAGCCCGACUUCUACCGUUCUGAAGGCUCCGACCUUUGAAGGUGGCGAUGCAAAGCUGGUAAGAGGAAAAGUGAAGCGUCCCAGGAAGAACUACCACACCGGUACUCCUAGGACAAGUCCUAGGUUUGAACUGAAGCCUGAAUGUCGGAACGGGCCUCUAGAAGAGCUGCCAGCCGAGGCACUGACCUCUGAAGGUGGCGACACGGAGCUGGUGAGAGAGAAGAUGCAACAUCCUGGGAAGGAUUACCAUUCCGGCACUCCUGGGACAAGUCCUAGGUUUGAACCGAAGCGUGAAUGUCAUAACGGGCCUGUGAAAGAGCUGCCAGCCGAGGCUCUGACAUCUGAAGGUGGCAACGCAAAGCUGUUGAGAGGGAAGGUCAAGCAUCCUCGGAUGAACUACCAUACCAGCACUCCUAGGAUAAGUCCUAGGUUUGUACCGAAGCUUGAAUGCCAUAACAGGCCUGUGGAAGAGCUGCCAGCCAAGGCUCUGACCUCUGAAGGAGGCAAUGAAGAGCUGGUGAGAGGGAAGCUGAAACAUCCUAGGAAGAACUACCCUGCUGGCACUCCUAGGACAAGUCCUAGGUUUGAACCAAAGCGUGAAUGUCAUAACGGGUCUGUGGAAGAAAUGCCAGCCAAGGUUCUGACCUCUAAAGGUGGUGAUGCUGAGCUGGUGAGAGGGGAAGUGAAACUUUCUAGGAAGAACUACCAUACCGGCACUCCUCGGACAAGUCCUAGGUUUGAAACAAAGCGUGGAUGUCGUAACGGGUCCGUGGAAGAGCUGCCAGCUGAGGUUCUGACCUCUGAUGGUGCUGAUGCAGAGCUGGUUAGGGAGAAGGUGAAACAUGCUAGGAAGGAUUACCAUACUGGCACUCCUAGGACAAGUCCUAGGUUUCAACUGAAGCGUGAACGUCACAAGGGGCCCGUGGAAGAACUGGCAGCCGAUCACAAGAGGUUCCGCACACUAGAAGAAUUAAUUGCCUCUCCUGACAAUGCAGAAUCUGCGAAGACCCCGUCUACUGACUCUCUGAACUAA
rnacentral:rRNA from 1 species